rnacentral:rRNA from 1 species
AAUUUUUAAUCAUUUUAUUAAAAUUAAUAAAAUUACAUUUAAAUCCUUUUUCAAUUAAAUAAUUUCAAUUUUAAUAUUCAUUUAAAUAAAUUUAUUGUAAUUCAUUUAUUCUAAAUUAUUAGUUACAUCUUGAUUUGAUUUAAUUUUUUAUUUAAAAUUUUAAAUAUUAUAAAAUUUAUAAAAAAUAUUUUUUUAACAAUAAUAUAUAAAUUUAUAAAUUAAGUAAAUUAAUUCGUGGAUUAUCAAUUAUUAAACAAAUUCCUCUAAAUAAAAUAAAAUACUGCCAAAUUAUUUAAGUUUCAUAUAAUAAUAUUAAUUACUAUUUUAAUAUUAAACUAUUUAA